rnacentral:sRNA from 1 species
AUGUCUGAUUAUUAUGUUUGGUAUAAGCAUGGAGAAGAAAUGAAUAUGGAUAUAGGAACGAGUUACACCGAUAGGACGUAUUUUAGUGAGAAUCAUGAAGAAGUGGGUAAUGUUGUAGAAGAUCCAUAUGUGGAUAUGGUGAACGAUGCAUUUAAUUUUAACGUGGGGUAUGAUGAUAACUAUCAUCAUGAUGAUAGUUAGCCCUGUAACGGAGCCGGAUAUCCGGCUUUUUCAGCGUAUCCGGAUCCGUAUCCGGCUCCGUUGGAUCCGUAAUUUUGUUAUCCGUAUCCGUAUCCGUCAAUACCGGAUAUUCGGAUUUCGAAUAUCCGUAAAAAAAAUAGAAUAUCCGUGGAUAUCCGGAUC